GACGAACGCUGGCGGCGUGCCUAAUACAUGCAAGUCGAACGCAGGGGGGACGGGUGAGUAACACGUGGGUAACCUCCCAUCAGAGGGGAGAAAACUUGGAAACAGGUGCUAAUCCGAUACUGAAGGAUGGACCAGGGGUGCAUUAGCUAGUUGGUGAGGUAACGGCUCACCAAGGCCACGAUGCAUAGCUGACCUGAGAGGGUGAUCGGCCACACGGGGACUGAGACACGGCCCAGAAUCCUACGGGAGGCAGCAGUAGGGAAUCUUCGGCAAUGGACGAAAGUCUGACCGAGCAACGCCGCGUGAAUGAAGAAGGUUUUCGGAUCGUAAAACUCUGUUGUUAGAGAAGCGGUAUCUAACCAGAAAGCCACGGCUAACUACGUGCCAGCAGCCGCGGUAAUUC
rnacentral:rRNA from 1 species